rnacentral:lncRNA from 1 species
UUUGCAGGGAAAUUGGCGGACAGUAACAUUCAGGGAGUGUGCAUGGUUACACUUAAAAAGCAGAUAUUGUCUCUCGUCAGCUUCGGGUGGACUAGACUCGGACCUCCCACGGCAGCUAGAACAACUCAGACAAACACGGGGCAUGUCUUGAAAGGGUAUCCUUCGUUCCGUUCUACAGCGAGACGCGUGAUGCUGUUACGACCUCAUCAGCGCUUCUUCCUCUUUGGAUCGCUUGUACACAGGAUGCCCUGGUGGAAAAACCUUCAGUGGCUUCAAUCGAGGACUGGACAGUUUGAUGAUUCGAUUAGGUUUACAUGGGAUUACAGGCUUCACUUCAGUGGAGUGAACCAAGGCAUUAUAAGACUCGUGCAUCCUCCCCAGAAUGCUUGUAAAGGAUCCGUUACGAACGCAAAGACCCGAGCGCGAAACUGCUCGCUCUGCUCGCGCUCACGCCGUCGAACGUGCAACUCAUGCUCUGCG